ACGGGAGGCAGCAGUGGGGAAUAUUGCACAAUGGGGGAAACCCUGAUGCAGCGACGCCGCGUGAGUGAAGAAGUAUUUCGGUAUGUAAAGCUCUAUCAGCAGGAAAGAAAAUGACGGUACCUGACUAAGAAGCCCCGGCUAACUACGUGCCAGCAGCCGCGGUAAUACGUAGGGGGCAAGCGUUAUCCGGAUUUAUUGGGUUUAAAGGGUGCGUAGGCGGUAUGGUAAGUCAGCGGUGAAAUGUCCACGCUUAACGUGGAACGUGCCGUUGAUACUGUCGUACUGGAAUUCGGUUGCCGUGGGAGGAAUGUGUAGUGUAGCGGUGAAAUGCUUAGAUAUUACACAGAACACCAAUUGCGAAGGCAUCUCACGAAACCGACAUUGACGCUGAGGCACGAAAGUGUGGGGAUCAAACAGGAUUAGAUACCCUGGUA
rnacentral:rRNA from 1 species